rnacentral:lncRNA from 1 species
CUAUGGACAAGUUAAGUAGAGUAUGGACCACACUUGUUUGUGGCAUUGUACUCAUAAGUGAAUUCAGAUAUCUCCUUCGCAAUCAAAAUAUUAUUGAAUUUUUCAUUGUUAGAAUCAAAUGUUUCCUAAACAUCCAGAUCUUUUAGAGAGCAAUGCAAAAAAAUUGAGCUGCCAAUUGAUCCUUACUCGUUAGCCACUUGAGAAUCCAAGAGUUUGAGUGUGACAUGGCUUGAAACAUGUGCAUCAUUUUAGUAGUAAGGACCUAUUUCCGGACAAUGCAUGAAGAGAUGAUCUUGAGAUUUUUCCUUACUUACACCUUUUCGAGCUAGAUUAAUUAUAGUUGGGAGAAUGUUCUUGGAUUCAAUGAGAAUAUGGUAUAUAGAGCCUAGAAAGUAGUUUCCAUCCUGCUCCUAAUGCCAACACAUCUUGUCAACAUAACAUUGUAGUGAAAUAUGUGAGUGUAUGUUUUUUUUAG